AGCAAUUGCCCCUUUUAAAUUACUAACAAGCGUUAGUCUCUCUUAUGCGGUAUUAGCUAUCGUUUCCAAUAGUUAUCCCCCGCUAUGAGGUAGGUAGGUAACCUACCUCAUAGCGGGGGAUAACUAUUGGAAACGAUAGCUAAUACCGCAUAAGAGAGACUAACGCAUGUUAGUAAUUUAAAAGGGGCAAUUGCUCCACUAUGAGAUGGACCUGCGUUGUAUUAGCUAGAUGGUGAGGAAAAGGCUCACCAAGGCGACGAUACAUAGCCGACCUGAGAGGGAGAUCGGCCACACUGGGACUGAGACACGGCCCCGACUCCUACGGGAGGCAGCAGUAGGGAAUCUUCGGCAAUGGGGGCAACCCUGACCGAGCAACGCCGCGUGAGUGAAGAAGGUUUUCGGAUCGUAAAGCUCUGUUGUUAGAGAAGAAUGAUGGUGGGAGUGGAAAAUCCACCAAGUGACGGUAACUAACCAGAAAGGGACGGCUAACUACGUGCCAGCAGCCGCGGUAAUACGUAGGUCCCGAGCGUUGUCCGGAUUUAUUGGGCGUAAAGCGAGCGCAGGGGUUUUUUAAGUCUGAAGUUAAAGGCAUUGGCUCAACCAAUGUACGCUUUGGAAACUGGAGAACUUGAGUGCAGAAGGGGAGAGUGGAAUUCCAUGUGUAGCGGUGAAAUGCGUAGAUAUAUGGAGGAACACCAGUGGCGAAAGCGGCUCUCUGGUCUGUAACUGACGCUGAGGCUCGAAAGCGUGGGGAGCAAACAGGAUUAGAUACCCUGGUAGUCCACGCCGUAAACGAUGAGUGCUAGGUGUUAGGCCUUUUCCGGGGCUUAGUGCCGGAGCUAAAGCAUUAAGCGCUCCGUCUGGGGGGUACGACCGCAAGGUUGAAACUCAAAGGAAUUGACGGGGGCCCGCACAAGCGGUGGCGCAUGU
rnacentral:rRNA from 1 species